UUUAAGUCGCUUAAGCCCUAUCGUUCAGGUUACUUCAGUGCUGCCAUCAAGCUCCAACCUGGCUAUACUGCAGGAGUGAUCACAUCUUUCUAUGUAAGAAUGAGAAUUCUAUAUUUCUAGGAAUAUCAAUUGUGGGCUGUAUCACUCAAAUUAAGAACUGAUAUUCUAAUAAUUCAUUAUCUGGGCAAUGACAGCUUUCAAACAACGAAGACUACCCUGGGAACCACGAUGAAAUCGAUAUCGAGUUCCUGGGAACAACACUGGAUAAGCCUUAUACCCUGCAGACCAACGUGUAUAUGAAGGGAAGUGGAGAUGGAAGACUAAUAGGGAGGGAAGUGAAGAUUCAUCUCUGGUUCGAUCCAACAGAAGACUUUCAUAAUUAUGCUAUCCUAUGGACCCCAGAUGAGAUCAUGUUAGUAUCAUUUCCUCCAAAUCCCGCCGCUAAUUUUCUUCAAGCAUGCAAAGUCUUUUCAUUCUUUGGCCUAAAGGUGAAAACGACGAUGCUACAUGCCACAUGGCCCAAAGGUUGCUUGAUUUAAUCUCAAUUUCUGCUUACUAUUUAUGUAGUUGUACUAUGAAAUGGUUUGCAGAUUCCUAGUGGACGAUGUCCCCGUAAGAAGGUAUCCAAGAAAGAAUGACGCUACAUUUCCCGCAAGGCCAAUGUGGGUGUAUGGAUCGAUAUGGGAUGCGUCAUCAUGGGCCACAGAGGAUGGAAAAUACAAAGCCGAUUACCGGUACCAACCAUUCAUAGGUAGGUACAAAAAUUUCAAGCUAGGCGGGUGCACCACCGAUGCAGCAGCCUCCUGCCGGCCACCCUCCAUCUCGCCGUCCUCCGCAGGAGGCCUGAGCCAACAGCAGUACUCAGCAAUGGAAUCGGUGCAGAAGAAUUACGUGGUUUACGACUAUUGCCAGGACCCCAAGAGAGACCACUCUCAGAUACCAGAGUGUUAGGUAGAUGUUGAUAAAAAGACUAAAGAGUGGGUUGGUUAUACACAGUUAUAAGUUGUUACUUAAGUUACAAAGACAGUUUGUUUUGGAGUGCAUUGUGAUGGGUCCAGCUUGCCAAGAACAGGUGCAAGAGUCGUUGAGCGCGCGUCCAAGC
rnacentral:lncRNA from 1 species